GUUCUUAUCGUCUAAUGGUUAGGACAUUACCCUUUCACGGUAAUAAUACGGGUUCGAAUCCCGUUAAGAAUG
rnacentral:tRNA from 1 species